UUGCACUCAACCCAGAGGACCUUGUACUGAGAGGUCAUGCUCAAGUCCUUUAGGCUUCUGAUACUGGGUAAAGCCUUACUCUACUCCAUACAGGGAUCUGAAGACUCUUUCAUUCUGCUCUUUCUCCAAAACACAUGUGUAGUAUACCCUCCCAACUACCUGUAGCCAUGCUGUGUUCUUGUCUCCUCAGGGUAUUUUGGAUAAUAAAUAUAUUCUCCUGCAAGAUGGUUCAGUUACCAAAGGAAGAUUUGUUGGAAGGAAAUGGGAGUGUCUUGUAAAAGCUACCAAAAGGUGAAUCAAUAAGUAAGUUGUGACAAGUGAUUAUGAAAACCCACUAGAAGAUGUGACAUUUGAGACCAGAAUAAUGCAGUCAUGUGAAGAAAAUGAUGAAAUCAAUAGCUAAUAUUUAAAUGCUUUUGAGGUACAUCUCUGGCUUUCUUUUCCUUGUUCAGUAUCACUGUGAAGGC
rnacentral:lncRNA from 1 species